GGGUGAGUAACACGUGGGUAACCUGCCUGUAAGACUGGGAUAACUCCGGGAAACCGGGGCUAAUACCGGAUAACUCAGUUCCUCGCAUGAGGAACUGUUGAAAGGUGGCUUUUCCCUACCACUUACAGAUGGACCCGCGGCGCAUUACCUAGUUGGUGAGGUAACGGCUCACCAAGGCAACGAUGCGUACCCAACCUGAAAGGGUGAUCGGCCACACUGGGACUGAAACACGGCCCAAACUCCUACGGGAGGCAGCAGUAGGGAAUCUUCCGCAAUGGACAAAAGUCUGACGGAGCAACGCCCCGGGAGUGAAAAAGGUUUUCGGAUCGUAAAACUCUGUUGUUAGGGAAAAACAAGUGCCGUUCGAAUAGGGCGGCACCUUGACGGUACCUAACCAAAAAGCCACGGCUAACUACUUGCCAGCAGCCGCGGUAAUACGUAGGUGGCAAGCGUUGUCCGGAAUUAUUGGGCGUAAAGCGCGCGCAGGUGGUUUCUUAAGUCUGAUGUGAAAGCCCACGGUUCAACCGUGAAGGGUCAUUGGAAACUGGGGAACUUGAGUGCAAAAAAGGAAAGUGGAAUUCCAAGUGUACCGGUGAAAUGCGUAAAUAUUUGGAGGAACACCAGUGGCGAAGGCGACUUUCUGGUCUGUAACUGACACUGAGGCGCGAAAGCGUGGGGAGCAAACAGGAUUAGAUACCCUGGUAGUCCACGCCGUAAACGAUGAGUGCUAAGUGUUAAAGGGUUUCCGCCCUUUAGUGCUGCAGCUAACGCAUUAAGCACUCCGCCUGGGGAGUACGGUCGCAAGACUGAAACUCAAAGGAAUUGACGGGGGCCCGCACAAGCGGUGGAGCAUGUGGUUUAAUUCGAAGCAACGCGAAGAACCUUACCAGGUCUUGACAUCCUCUGACAACCCUAAAAAUAGGGC
rnacentral:rRNA from 1 species